ACGGCCAACAGAGAUUUGGUUCCUAAGCGCACAUUUCUCUCCUCGCGCAUACGGCCGGUGAUGCUUAAAGUGGACAUAAUAAAUCACUUACACUGCUGUUCUGCCCGGACCAGUGCACCAUAGCCUGGUUGUGAGAUGAAUCCCCGGUCAAGGCGAACGUUGAACUGUUAAGUUUUAGUUCCUCCUGCCUCUGACCGGCGGCUCUCCGCUCCUCUCCGCUCCAGCGCAAUUCAGAGCGCGGCACUCUGCGUCCGGCCGCUGAGCUCCUGCUCUCUCCCGGUUCUUGACUCUGGGUUGAACCGGGGGAUCUGGCUUUAUUAUCAUCACUGUCCCUUCUGGCGCGCUUUCUGUAGCGGGUGGCAGAGCCUUGGCUCUUUGUAUUCCGUCCGAUCCGGAGCGCAUUCAGCAGACCCAGCUACGCAACGGAGCCGCCGACUUUCAGCACUUGCAGCACCGGAUCUCCCUGCCCCAUCCCCAUGUCCCAAAACUUCUUCCUUUAAUCCUGUUGCGGAUUGACUUGUGUCGAAUUUCAGCAGUAACUGCUGUGCACGCCACUUAUUUCCAGGCUGGCAUGACCUGCAAGUUAUCUCAGCAUUGGCGGCAUGAAAGGAACAGAGCAUCAUCAAAAGCAAAAACCAAAGCGCACCAUGCCACUUUGGGCAAAAUAUGACCUCCCUCUCCAUUUCUGAGAUAGAGAAGGAUGCUGUGGAUGCUGGAAGUCUUUUCUCCCCACUCCUCUCGCUGCCUUUUCGGGGUGUGAAAUUCCGCUCGGCUGUUGAAGAUGAAGUGCUGCGCAAGUUGUGGCGUUGCCCAAAUGCAGUGUUGUAAAAAGUGCGGCUGAGCCUAAGUGGUCCAAGUUGAAGGAUUUGAUCAAAUCAAGCCCCGCACGCAUGGGGGAGGAGCUGAGGAUCCAGACUGAGCGAUGGAGGAUAAUGUUGGACUGUCUUUCUCCAUAUUUGUUAUUUUCCACCAUAUGGUCGGCGAUAAUUAAUGCAGCCAGUAAUACAGUCAUUUUAUUCUACUG